GAUGAACGCUGGCUACAGGCUUAACACAUGCAAGUCGAGGGGAAACGACGGGGAAGCUUGCUUCCCCGGGCGUCGACCGGCGCACGGGUGAGUAACGCGUAUCCAACCUGCCUCUGACUGAGGGAUAACCCGUCGAAAGUCGGCCUAAUACCUCAUGGCAUCGUCUGCGGGCAUCCAACGACGAUUAAAGAUUUCAUCGGUCAGAGAUGGGGAUGCGUCUGAUUAGCUUGUUGGCGGGGUAACGGCCCACCAAGGCGACGAUCAGUAGGGGUUCUGAGAGGAAGGUCCCCCACAUUGGAACUGAGACACGGUCCAAACUCCUACGGGAGGCAGCAGUGAGGAAUAUGAGUCAAUGGGCGAGAGCCUGAACCAGCCAAGUAGCGUGCAGGAUGACGGCCCUAUGGGUUGUAAACUGCUUUUAUGCGGGGAUAAAGUGAGGGACGUGUCCUUCAUUGCAGGUACCGCAUGAAUAAGGACCGGCUAAUUCCGU
rnacentral:rRNA from 1 species